GAUGAACGCUGGCGGCGUGCCUAAUACAUGCAAGUCGAGCGAACAGAUGAGGAGCUUGCUCCUCUGACGUUAGCGGCGGACGGGUGAGUAACACGUGGAUAACCUACCUAUAAGACUGGGAUAACUUCGGGAAACCGGAGCUAAUACCGGAUAAUAUAUUGAACCGCAUGGUUCAAUAGUGAAAGACGGUUUUGCUGUCACUUAUAGAUGGAUCCGCGCCGCAUUAGCUAGUUGGUAAGGUAACGGCUUACCAAGACAACGAUGCGUAGCCGACCUGAGAGGGGGAUCGGCCACACUGGAACUGAGACACGGUCCAGACUCCUACGGGAGGCAGCAGUAGGGAAUCUUCCGCAAUGGGCGAAAGCCUGACGGAGCAACGCCGCGUGAGUGAUGAAGGUCUUCGGAUCGUAAAACUCUGUUAUUAGGGAAGAACAAAUGUGUAAGUAACUAUGCACGUCUUGACGGUACCUAAUCAGAAAGCCACGGCUAACUACGUG
rnacentral:rRNA from 1 species